GAAAACCAAGUCAGAGCAGAAGGAGAAUUGAAAUGGUGAUGAGAGAAGAAUGUAUCCUCUAUCCAGCAAGCCUUUUUCAAUAAAAUCAUUAUGUACUCCACCUGCAACAAGAGGAAAGAAAACAAAGUUCUGUGAAUAACUAAAUCAUCAUAAUGAAACAAAAUGAUAAGCAGAAAGCAAGAGUGUUUUGAAAAAAAGUACACAAACAAUUGUAGGUAUUUAAUUUGUUACUGUGCACAUGAAUAUACUAAACAGGAAAAGGUCGCUAAGCUGUGGAUAUACACAUUGUUUACAGUUCAAUGAGAAUUGGCCUCUGUUGGCUAGCAAUAAAUGUCAAACUGUUCAACAUUGAUUAAUCAUGAAGGAAUAUUGCUUAACAAAGAAUAAAAUAUCUUUCUGAGGUUACAAGCAACAACUAGCUUUCUCUGACUUACUGGUUGACAUGAUACAAAAUGCCUUCCCAGCCUCAGCAUCUGACUUAUAUGACAUUCUAGUCACUUACAAAGAUGACAAACAACAGUCUUCCAAAUACUAGGUAAAGAAAAUCUGACCCAGUUUGUUAAGGUGUGUUUACUCCUUUAUCUUACCUUAUUGGAGGUAAGAUAAAAGAUAGGUAAGAUCUUACCUUAAGAUCAGGAAGGGUGGUUCAUAUAAUACCAGCAUGGCUUCCAAUUGGUAUACCCUUGUGGAUCUGAGGGAAGAAAUAAGAAUGUCUGCCCCAUAAGAAGCUAGGAGACAGAUUUUCUUGGUUACAAGAGCCAGAGAGAACUGUGGGAAUCCCUUAGAUGGCAGCCUCAUCUUAAAGGGUGACUACUAGAGAUAACAAGGGGGAGAAGCCUUGGUGAGCAUCCUGGACCAUUUUGGUUC
rnacentral:lncRNA from 1 species